rnacentral:rRNA from 1 species
AUUGAACGCUGACGGCAGGCUUAACACAUGCAAGUCGAGCGGAGUGAUGGUGCUUGCACUAUCACUUAGCGGCGGACGGGUGAGUAAUGCUUAGGAAUCUGCCUAUUAGUGGGGGACAACAUCUCGAAAGGGAUGCUAAUACCGCAUACGUCCUACGGGAGAAAGCAGGGGAUCACUUGUGACCUUGCGCUAAUAGAUGAGCCUAAGUCGGAUUAGCUAGUUGGUGGGGUAAAGGCCUACCAAGGCGACGAUCUGUAGCGGGUCUGAGAGGAUGAUCCGCCACACUGGGACUGAGACACGGCCCAGACUCCUACGGGAGGCAGCAGUGGGGAAUAUUGGACAAUGGGGGGAACCCUGAUCCAGCCAUGCCGCGUGUGUGAAGAAGGCCUUAUGGUUGUAAAGCACUUUAAGCGAGGAGGAGGCUUACCUAGUUAAUACCUGGGAUAAGUGGACGUUACUCGCAGAAUAAGCACCGGCUAACUCUGUGCCAGCAGCCGCAGUAA